GACGAACGCUGGCGGCGUGCUUAACACAUGCAAGUCGAACGGAAAGGCCCUGCUUUUGUGGGGUGCUCGAGUGGCGAACGGGUGAGUAACACGUGAGUAACCUGCCCUUGACUUUGGGAUAACUUCAGGAAACUGGGGCUAAUACCGGAUAGGAGCUCCUGCUGCAUGGUGGGGGUUGGAAAGUUUCGGCGGUUGGGGAUGGACUCGCGGCUUAUCAGCUUGUUGGUGGGGUAGUGGCUUACCAAGGCUUUGACGGGUAGCCGGCCUGAGAGGGUGACCGGGCGCAGGGGGACUAGGGGACGGAGCAGAGGGAAGCGGGAGGCAGGAGUGGGGGAUGGGGCGGGACGGGCGGGAGGCGGAAGCGGGAGCGCCGCGUGAGGGAUGACGGGCGGCGGGGGGGAAAACGCUUUGGCGUGUGAAGGAGCGGGAGGGAAGGGAAUGGGUAAAGAAGCACCGGAUAACUACAGG
rnacentral:rRNA from 1 species